CCUGAGGUUUCUCUCUGCCUGUCCCCCUGAGGUUUCUCUCUCCCUGUCCCCCUGAGGUUUCUCUCUGCCUGUCCCCCUGAGGUUUCUCUCUCCCUGUUCAAAUGAGGUUUCUCUCUCCCUGUUCAAAUGAGGUUUCUCUCUCCCUGUCCCCCUGAGGUUUCUCUCUCCCUGUCCCCCUGAGGUUUCUCUCUCCCUGU